rnacentral:lncRNA from 1 species
UCUGCUACCACAUAUUAAACUUUAUAAGAAAUUAAAAUCGUACAUCUUGUCACGAUUUCAAUUUCUAUACUCGGAUUGUAGACUAGGGAUGACAAUGGGUACAGAUACCCGAAAUUUUAUCCGAAUCCGAAUCCGAACGGAGCGAAUUUAUCUGAUACUAAAUGGAUAUGGUUUUGAAUAUGGAUAUCAAAAAUACAAACCCGAUGGAUAUGGAUACAGAUAUGGAUUUUUACUGUACUCGACCCGAACCCGAUCCGAACCGAAUUUAUUUUACAUUAUAUAUAAUAUAUAUAUAAAUUUGAUAUUAUUUUUGAAUUUAUAUUUUAAAAAUUUAAAUUUAAUAUAAUAUAGUUUGAAAUAUUGAAAAGAGAAAUAAUUGUUUCAAGUUUGGAUUUUCAGGUUCGGGUUCGGGUUUGGGCUUGGAUUUCGAAUUUUUGGUCGGGUUCGGGUUUGGAUAUGGCUCUUUAAAAUCUGCUGGGUUCGGGUUCGGGUUCAGGUUUGGGUUCGGGUUUGGUUUUCGGAUUUGGAGUCGGGUUCGGGUUUGGAUUUUUGAAAAUCCGUCCCGAAUCUGACCCGUUCACCUUCCUAUUGUAGACGGUGAUUCUUCCUCAUGAUUCGUCCUCGUUCAUAAUAUGCAAAAGAGCGGAAUGUUUCAAGUCUAAUUCCCUUAUCCCCUGAAAUGAAGCCGACACAGCAAUUAGGAUUAGGAUAAGACCGAGACUCGAUCUAGUAUGUUAAAUAUUUAUAUAUAACUUGAUGUAAGGAUAUUAAAUCAUAUCUAUCUAGCAAGAAUAUGUCCAGAUAUAUUCUAACCGUUAGAUCUACCGCAUCUUUAUGACUCAACUUGAAUAGAUCGACUGUAUCUUUAUAGAUAGUUUUGAAUAAAUCAUAUAUGCCAUAUCUAACAGUAUAAACAUAGUAAUAAAAAGGUCUAAAUACUAUUCAAAGUAUUCUAGUCCAAUUAUAUAUAUAUAUAUAUAGUACGUCUUCUAUACUUUUGAAAGUAUGGAGGCCUCCGUGUUUGUUGAUUUCGAUGAUGGAGCAUCCGAUUCGGCAAUCAGCUCCGUUAACAUGAUCUACGCUAUUAUAACUAUUUAGAAACUAAAUUUCAUAAUUUUUCGACAUUAUUUACCAAGUGAUCAAAGAGUCUCAAAAAUGACUAUUUUAACGGCCGAUGUGGCACACUCGAAAGUUUAAUGGUGUAGAGAAUCCAAAUUACGUUAAACUUUAAUAUAAAAUUCUACUUAACAUCAAAAGCAAGAAUAAUACUUUCAAUUUGAAAUUUGAAUCUUUUAU